AGGAAAGGCAGGAAAUACAUCGUUUGGUGGAAUCCUGAGCCAUCUGAUAUCUCUGGAGCAUGGAGUGCUAGAAAUAAACAUAAAUUGAAUAACAGAAAAUCACCUGUGAGUUUGGGAAACUCUCAGUUCCUGAAGGACAAGGAACAAAGUCCUCUUCCCUGAGGGACACUGACAAAGCCAUUUUAUGAAGACAAUGUGAAAAUCUCUAGAGGAAGAUCCAUGUGGAAAGCACCCGUUGGCUGGGAGCUCAAAGCAUUUUCCUUUUCUGUCCCUAGACAACCUGUCCACUGUCCUGCGGGAAACUGGAGGUAAAUUGCUCAGAAUAACAGGUCCGGAGAGGGUAUCUCAAUGGGCACCAGCCCGUGUUACCCUUGGAAGGGAGAGGGGAUAAAAUGCCUGGCAAACCCUGGAGACGGAGACGGGCUUGACAGUAAGCUGCUGUUUGGGGUUUGUGGACAGUGCGCCAGGAGGGCUCCUUCUCACAUUCCUCAUGGUCCUCACAACACUUUAGGAGAGCACCCGAGGAUGGUUAUUGACAUUCUGGGAAGAGAAGGGAAACAGGCCACUAGAAGAGGAAGAAAUGAGCAGUGAGCUCUGGGUCUGGGCCAGGCUGUCAGACUGAGUUUGGCUGGUGGCCUCAGGAUGGCAGUAAAAUGUAAGCCAGAGAAAGGCUGGCUCCUGAUUGCCCAGCCCAGGGCUGGGAGAGGGGUCAGAGCGCAGAACGGGGCCCUUGCGUGACCCUAAGGGUGGGUGCCUUCUUAAACUCUAUGCCCAGGCACCUCGCGUGCCCUCCCUCACCAGGCCCAGCAGGUGGUUCUGGGGGUCCCAGGCUGACGACACACUCUCUGGCAAAUGGAGCCACACUUGGGUUUCCCUGAUUUUCUCUGUUAAAGCAAGGCCUGCCACUAGCAGCAGUCCUCUAGCAGGCAGUGGGCUUACUGGAGCCUAGAGCAGCCUGGAGAGCCAUGGAAGGGCACCCAGCCAGCCACAGCCUUCUCAGGACUCCAGGCUGCUUUCCCAGACUGACCUCACUCCUGCCCGCAGCUUUCCGCCCAACACUCCCUCUGGUCUUCCCUUCCAGACAUGAUCCUGGUGCCAGAAACUGCCAGUGCUUACAUCCAAGCAGUAGGUACCUGAGCAGAAUAAACACAGGGGCGAAAGUGUCUGUGCCUUCUGACCCAGACAGGCUCCCCUGCCUCUCACUGGGGGUUAGGCACCGUGGGAUCUUGUCAGGCAGAUGCUACUGGGAUGCAGAGGUGGACUUUGGUGGCCACUAGGGGCUUGGGGUGGCAAGAGAAACCACAGAGUGGUUUAAACUAAAUCCAGAAGGAAGCAUAUGGGCUUAGGGCUCUACCAAGUCAAUAUCAGCCUCUCACCGACCCCUGCACUGACAUCUGAAGAGACGGAGCCAGGAAGGGUCCAGUGUCUUUGGAUUGCCAAGGGGCUCAAGUAUCAUUCUACAGUGUGCAGAAUUUGACCCCCAUCUUCAUCUUGUCAGCCAUGUUUGCUGAGAAAAUCUACCCUUUUUUCUGGCUGCUCUCAAAAGGGGCCAGUGUAAACUGCUGAGUUUCUUGGGAAGCCCCAUCUGAGCAAAUUUCUUCCCAAGAAACUCAGGGUGUGGGUCACAAGCAUUCAGGGCUGCUUCUUCAUCCACCUUUGCUAGUGUCUGGAAGACAGGAGAACUCUAUUGCUUAUGGUACAAUUUGUAUGGUUGGCUAGAUAGCAGAAAUAAAAUGAACGGAUGUCACUAACCAUGCACCUUAUCCUAUGUUAGUGUGGAGGUCAGACUUCUCUGAGCUUUACUUCUUUCCUUCUAUUUUCAUCUUCAUUAAGUGCCAUUUAAAACUCUACUUCUAUCUCUCAAAUAAAUGCCAAAUCAGCUGCUCUAAAAACUCUCCUCCAAACUGUGGCAAGAACAGGUGAAGAUACUUGUGCAGCCACAGAAAAACCUUUAAAACAAAGACAUCAUCAAUAAUCAUAUUUCAUACAUAAAUGUUAUUUCCAUCACAAGAUGUGAUGUGAAAGCAAAAAUUAUCACUUGAGAUGUUCAAGACAGUCUUAUAUAUUCCAGACAGGCCCUGCAACAUGAGUGUAUAAGCACAUAACAAAGAUUUUUCUUUCUAAGUUUCAUAAUUUGUGAGCUGAUAUUCACAGCAUGGCUUUUUUGAGGACAAAAUUAAAGGCACUCCCCACUCUGGCCCAGAUGGUAUUUCCAUUCCCAGUUACAACAAGAAGGUAGAUAAUACAGAGCCUUAAAACUAAGACUGGCCAAAAGAAUUUUACUCUCCCUUUAUUUCCUAUUAAAUGUAGCACCAAGCAGUAUCCACACUGUUCCCUAUCCUCUGCCUGAAGGUGGGAUUCUUCCAUUACCUGAAUGGUCCCCAGCCCCAAAACUGGGCGUUUCACUGGGAUUGUGGGUGGAAGACAGAGGGGGAAGCCCCUAGCUUCAGUAGGAUGUCUGUCAAUGAGAGGAGAUGGUCUUUAUUUAUAAAUAAAAGAGAUGGCUUCUAUUUAUGACUUUUCUCAGAGCAGAGACAUUUACCCUUCACAGUGACGUCCAUCACAACUGUCAUACCACCCUGGGAUGUGAGAGGAUGGGUGCCCCUGUUUUCAGAUGAAAAGCAUGUAUGAUUUUUAAAACAAAGAACUAAUUUAACAGAAAAUUUUUAAGACAUUGUUUUCUUCUUUUUUCUUCUUUUACUGCAACCCUCAACCCAUCCUCUAGGAAGGGCAUUCAGAUCUUAGAGUUCCACGCUUCAUGACAAUAGAUUAGCCCCAUAACGUGAUGUAUAAAGAACAUAGAUUCUGAAGCCUGAUUGGACUGAAUGGGUUCAAAUCCUGGCCCUGCCUCUUAUAGGCUGUGAGAUUUCAGGGGUCACACAACCUCUCUGUGCCUCAGCUAUCUGGAACUAAAGAUAGUCUUGCCUGAGAGGUCUGUCAGAAGACUUACAUGAGUUCCUACUCACAUAAUACUAAGCACAUAGAAAGCACUGCAAAGGAAGUCAUAAAAUGAAUAUACAAUUACAAGCCUAUUCAUCUUAUAUGCCUCCCACAAGAAAGUAAAAUCAUUUCUUGGUGUUAGGUCUCAGACCCCAUAGGGGAUCUCCUAAGGGUCACCCAUACCAGAAGCCCCAAGACUUAUAAUGUCCACAACACAUAACAAAGUCACAGAGCAGAUGUAGACCCUUAUCUUAGAAAAACCUUCACAACAUCCACCCUCAAAUAAGCCCAGUACAAAUCAAAUUGAAUUACUCCCAAAACUACUGUAAACAGUAAUUAUUUUAUCCAAAGGAAUUUAAAUUACUUAUAUUUUAAGGUGGUUUUAUAGAUAUCUCCAGGUUGAGUUGGACACAGACACAAUUUUUAAAAAAUAAUUUAUUGAGGUGAAACUCAGACAAUUAUUUUUUAAUUUUUAAACCACGUGGUUAAGAGAAUACCUGGAAAGAGUACCUCAAGCUUUCACCUGCUUGCAAAGCUACUCCCAAGCCUCCCCACCAUGGCCCUCCAGCUUUGGUGAAUGACAGUGACCUUCUUUCCGCUGUAAAUAUACUAAUUCACACUGUAUGAACAGUAUGUUUGUUAUGUGGUUAUUAUCAUGUUGUGAAACUAUAAUAGGCAGAUUUUUACAGGACCCUUCCUUGUAUGUAGGGACUUAUUCCAGUGAAUCAUCACAAAGUGUUUCUAAAGUAGGUGGCAUCAAAGACCCAAGUAGGAAGGGCUUAAAGAUGUCCAUCAGUAUUGACCCACAGCUCAACUGUGAACUAGGUAUGCCUUUAUACUGACUUGUGCUAGAAGAGAAUGAGAGGCAUCUAGAAGUUCCAGAAGGUUGAGCUUUAAUGGAGCUGGAGUAUGUCCUUGCAUGGAGCAAGACGUAUUUGUUCCCUGGACUAGGAAACAAGGUGGCACCCAGAGACCACAUGGCUAAGAGGCAGGUUGAGGAACUGGGCAGGUAGGAAGCCAGACCAGAUGCCUACAAAGUUAUGCUAGGCCUUUAACAGUUAGCAUGAAAGUAUUUCAAGAUCAAGGAAACUCUGGGCUAUGUACGGGUCUUAGAUAUUUUCACAGAAUUCUUUAAAAUAAGAAACCAGGCAUGGGUGGCCUAAUUAUGUAUGUUGUGUUAUCAGCCAUUAUUUUCUUUAUAUAGUCCCUUGAUUUUUCAUAGUCACUUUUGUUCAUGUUAACUUUCAGCUCUAUUCAGGGAGUUUUGUCCAUACCUUCCUUGGAAUGAAUAUGGGUGCGCUUUACCCCUAGAGCCCUGAAGAGUGGGGAAGGAGUAAAAAUGAAGAGAUGUUAAAGCAAAGACAAAAAGUCAGGGAGGAAACUGCCUACCAGCCAGCAAAGCCUCUCCCUCUGCCCUCCCUCUUGGCUCAAAUCUCCCAACCAGAGGCCCGCCUCCCCACUCUCAGGAAAUGGCCUUAUCUCUGCCCCCUGUGACACUCUCUUCUUCAAAUUCCAUCUCACUCUUGAGACCUUUCCAGUUGUGCCCCUUGCUCAGUCCUUCUUCCAUCUUCUAUCCUCAACAUUGUCUGUUGCAUAGUGGCAGAUUGCCUCUAAAUUUGUUGCCCCUAUGUUGUUUUUUGUAAGUGUUCUAUAACUUAUACUAUAUAAACAAUUGUUGCAUUGUUCUAUUAGAUUUGAAUUUCUUUGGAGGUGAAUAGUUUCUAUUUCCCUUCUAAGGCUCUGCCCUAUCAUUUAUAUUAAAACGUUCUUAUAUUUAAGUAAAAUAUCUUUGUGGUGUUUUUAAAAAAUGCAUCUCUCUAAAAAAAAAAAAGAACCCAAACAAUACAGAAAAGAAGAAAAUUCAUAAUUCCAUCCCAAACAGGUAAUAUCUGUUAACAUUUCAGAAUACAUCCUUCACCACACCUUGGUCUUCGUAUGUUCAAAAAUUGGCAAAAAAGGAUCUCACUUCAUAUUAUUUCUAUUUCAAGACUUCCCUCUUUUAUUUUUACAUUGCUACACAGAGCUAAUUCAUUCCUCUCAAGAGCAGUAUAAUAUUCAAGGCCCAGAUGUUUCAUCAUAUUAUUGGUUUAUUAAUGGAUAUUGAGGUUGUUCCAAGUGGGUUUUUAGUUUGUAAGAAAACCAUCAAGGAUGACUCCCUUGGUUCAAGCUUGAAUUUCCAGAUAGAUAGUAGUAAUGCCAAUUAAGAUAGAGAACACCGGAAGGUAGCAGGUAUUGGGUAGAUUAGAUUGUUUCUAUUCCAAAUCAGGAACCAACAUAGAAACAUUACUGCUAUCUAAUCCUCAUACUCCAUUCAAGUUUCACUAAUUGUCCCCAAAUCAUCCUUUAUAUCAAAAGAAUUCAAUCCAGAAUCAUGCAUAGCAUUUAGUUGUCAUGUCUUUCAACUGGUUUCAGUCUGAAAUAGUUUCCCAGUUGUUACUGGUCUUUAAUGGCCUUGAAACUUUUGCAGAUUACAGUCCAGCUGUCUUUUAGAAAGUUACUUAUUUUGGUUUUGUCUCAUGUUUCCUCAUGAUUAGACUUACUUUAUGAUUUCUGUCAGGUGAAAUCACAAAAGAGAUGUUGUGGAAAUACAGGAAAUGUCUGUCACUCUCGGUCAGGCAAAGAUUUCUUAAAUAUGACACAAAAAGGAAAAACUAUGCAAGAAAAAAAGAAUAAAUUACAUUCCAUCAAAAUGAAAAACUUUUGCAACUCAAAAGACAUUAUUCAGAAAAUGGAAAGACAGGUCACAGACUGGGAGGAAAGAUUUGCAAAAUGUAUCUCUGAUAAAGAACUUAUAUCCAGAAUGUGUCACAGAAUAUAUUGUAAACACAGUUCAAUACUAGAAAGAUAACCCAGUUUUUUUAAUGGACAAAAUAUUUGAAGACACUUCACCAAAAAUGAUAUACAGAUGACCAAUAAGCACAUGAAAAUAUGUUCAAUAUUAUUAGGCAUUAGGGAAAUACAAAUUAAAACCAUAAUGAGGUAACACUACAUACCUACUAGAAUGGCUCAAAUCUCAAACACUGCCUAUACCUAGAAAAUGUGAAGCAACUGGGAUACUCAUAGUGGGAAUGCAAAAUGGUACAGCCACUUUAGAAAAGUUUGCCAACUUCCUAUAAAACUAAUCAUACACUUAACAUAUAACCCAACAAUCUCACUCUUAGGUAUUUAUCCAAGAGAAAACUUGUGUCUACACAAUGACUUGCACAGAAAUGUUUACAGCAGCUUUAUUUAUAAUUGCUAAAAGCAGGAAAAGUCAUUGGUGAAAGGAUAAAAUAUGGUAUAAUGAAAUACUGCUCAGCAAUGAAAAGGAAGAAGUUACUUCAAGCAACAACAGGGACAAAUCUCAAAGCACUAUGCUACAUGAAAGAAGCAGACAUAAGCUACAUGUUUACUGUAUGGUUCCAUUUAUUGACAUCCUAAAAAAGUCUAAACAAUAGAGACAUAAAUUAGAUCAGUGGCCACUUGGGGCAGGAAGUAAGGACAAGAGACUGACUGCAAAAGGGGCACAAGAGAACUUUUGGGUUGAUGGAAAUGUUCUAUGUCUUAACAGUGGUGGUGUUUACAUGAUUAUAUGCAUUUGUCAAAACUGAUCUAAGCAUAUAUUUUUUAAAGAGUGAUUUAACUAUAGUAUAUGUAUAAUUAAUACAUAACCAUAUGUAAAUUUUACCUCAGUAAACCUGACUUUAAAAAAUGAUAUUGUAAUAAAUACCAAAGAAUUAUGAGGGUGAAGGGGGGUAAUGCAUUCUCUUUGGGAAAAAUUCAAACAAUACCAAAGCAGAUAUAAUAUAUUAUGAAAAUUCCCCUCUCUUUCUUCAAUCCCAAGGCUAUCAACAGUUCAUGCAUAUUCUUUCAGAUAUUUUUAUGCAUACUCAUUUAUGUUUGUAAAAAUACAUAAAUGUGAUAGUAAGUGAUGUAUUGUUUUGUAAACUCUUCAUCUGUGUCACUUCCCAUUAUGUACACCUUCCCAUUGUUUAUCAGUACAUAAAACUCUCAUCUCACACCACAGCACAUCUCUCUGUCAAGGAUGGAGUGGGCUUCCCAUAAAUGUUGUUAACCAUCUCCAUUUUCCAUGAGUCAACUGGCCAGAGAGGGUCGUCCUGACCAACAAGAGGAACAGAUUGAUUCCAGCAGCUGUCAGCGUCCAGAGGACACAGCAUUCUUUGGACCUGUUACCAAACCAGCCAGCACUUACACAGCAACUGAUCCUUGAGAGACGUGUUCAAGGUCACACAAGACACUGGCAGUGACAGGAAGGAAGAGAGGAAGCUGGCUGCAUUGUCUUCAGCCAGCAGACAGACUGUGCCAGAUUUCUCCUGUGUCCUAGUCAAGCAUCCCUUUUGAAGCACCACGCUGCAUAACACUACCUCUGCUCUGAGAAACGCUGGCAUUAGACAUGUUGGUUAAAGUUUCUGGAUUGUAUUAAUAUUAAAUUAUCAUUUA